AUUGAACGCUGGCGGCAGGCCUAACACAUGCAAGUCUAACGAGUGGCGGACGGGUGAGUAAUGUCUGGGAAACUGCCUGAUGGAGGGGGAUAACUACUGGAAACGGUACCUAAUACCGCAUACCAUCAGAUGUGCCCAGAUGGGCUUAGCUAGUUGGUGGGGUAACGGCUCACCAAGGCGACGAUCCAUAGCUGGUCUGAGAGGAUGACCAGCCACACUGGAGAUGAGAUACGGUCCAGACUACUACGGGAGGCAGCAGUGGAGAAUAUUGCACAAUGGGAGCAAGCCUGAUGCAGCCAUGCCGCGUGUAUGGAGAAGUCCUUCGGGUUGUAAAGUAAUUUCAGCGGGGAGGCGUUACCCGCAGAAGAAGCACCGGCUAACUCCGUGCCAGCAGCCGCGGUAAUAC
rnacentral:rRNA from 1 species